CAGGAGGGCAGAAGCAAUUCUCCUGUGUGUGCCCAGCGGCUGCCAAAGCGGUGACUGCUUCUCUUUGGAUGGAGAGCUUGUGGCUGCUAUGAAUUUGGGGCUGAUUUUAGUGCUUUAAGAAAAUGAGUAACAGGCCCAGGGAAACAGGUUGUUCUGCCCUGAUUGCGGAAGUCUCUGCAAAAUGCCAUUGUAAAGCUCACCAGGUGCUGCUGGACUUGAAUCUUGCUGGAGAAUCUUGCUGGAGGGAGGCAUUUUUGCCUGGAGAGGAAAGAGGUGGAAGAAGAUGCUGGCCGAAGGGGUAAUAGAUGCCUGGAGCUUGAGCAAGGGAAAGACUGGGCCUUUGACCAGGAAAGUUCCCAGUGGGAUGUAGGAGCCAGCUGAACCAAGCCCCGUUAAUACUGGUGAGAUGCCGCAGUGCCACCCGACUCGGACCAGAACUAGAGUGGCCAUGGACACAGCAUUGCCGGCUGCCUCUUCACACACCACAGGGUGGGUCCAAGCUCAGUGGCCUGUGUGAGAAUGCUGGUGCUACAGGGCCCAUGCGGCACAGCUUGCUUGUAGUCCAUUAUAAUGUCCCAAACCACUCCAGGUUCUUGCCACUCUCCUUCAAAAGGGGCAUGAGGCUUAAGCCAUAAUUAAAAUGCAGAUAUCAAGAUAAAUGAUGUAUGUACAUGCCAUCAAGUUGCAACUUAUGGUUGACCACAGCCAAGGGAAUUUCAAGGCAAGUGAAAAGCAGAGUCUCUCUUGGUGGUCCCCCAUCCAAGUACCAACCCUGCUUAGCUUCUGGGAUCUGACAUGAACAGGCUAUACUAUGUCCUCUUCCCUCCACCAAGAUCCAUCGGGGCCUAUCAAAGGGCAAAGGAGCAGCUGAAUUACAGUGUGUUUUAAGUCCUUAAGAACAGAUACAGGAGUCAAGCUGGUGUUGAAACAUCUGCCCAUCAUCAGCAAAGCCAAUUUGUGUCCUCAUCUCUCAGGCUUCAUGCAGUAAUCACACUAUAUUUACUAUUUCCCAUCACAUCAGCUUUGGAAGAUGGAGCUGAGCCCAGUAUUCCAACUUGAAAUGUAGACAUGUCUUGAACAUGUGUACCAAAUUUAAUUCCUACAUCUCAGUGAUCUGAGAGACAGAGACUAUGUUAUGGACACGCAAAAAGGCAAGCCAAAAAGAAAAACCAAACAUGCAUGCUAAAGCAGAGGACCAUCGCUUUAGUGAAAGUCAAUAUUUUACAUAGUAUUUUUAUAGUCUUAAUUCCACCCGUAUCAAUAAUUGCAAUAUCAAUAAUUGCAAGAUUUAGAUAUUUGAAAACAAAUUCAAGGUGGCUGCGUAUUGUUGAGAAUGCAUUUUAUUCUUUGCUGGAGAGAAGGAUUUUGUUUGUUUGUUUGUUUGUUUGUUUUGUCAACAGAUGCACCCAAUCUGCAUGUCCAGAGCACAACCAGCCACUUCUGCCCCCCCCCCCAUCUUUAAUUUCUUUCUCCUGGGGCUUAGGCUACACAACCUAACUCUGUUGGUGAGGGGUGCUUUUUAUGAAGGGGUUUGGUUCUGCAGGGAAGAAGAAGGGUAUUGGGGGGGGGCGGCUUCUGGUUUGGCAGAAUAGACUCCGAAAGGUGUUCCCAACCUAAUGCAAGGGUUUGUUUCGAUUCCAAAUCCUCCUAGAGGAAAAUUUCCACAUAUUUCAAAACCGGAGAAUGAGUAAAAGUCUUCUAAAAUGGGGGAACCCACUCAAAAGUUUGGUCUACCCUUCAUCUUGAAGAUGGCCCAUCCUCAUAAACGCCCUUAGCCUCUCCACAGCUGUAGCCAGCCCCGUCCAAAUCCACCAGAUGGCACUCUCCGCUGUUUUUUCCUCUCCUCCUCUAGAGAGUGUCCCACAGUUUCUUCAGCCGAGCAGGAGUUUCUCGGGAUGAAUUUUGCCUGAGGGCAGCUGCGAGCUGUCCCAUACUGAGUCCACACAGGUGCAGGAAAAGGCAGCAGCAAGAUCUCGGCGUGGUGGCAGGUGGAGAGGGUGUCUGCAUGACCUGCCCCCAUGCCACUUGCUGUUGUCCCCACUCCCACCUCACAUCAGUGUAGAAAAGUUGGUGCACUAAUAAUCAUACUGUGGAGCCCCACAGCCCAGCAAGCCCCCUUUUCUCCCCAUGGUUGAGGGGAGAACUGGGAAUGCAGAGCUCAUCUCUAAGUGCAGUUUAGCCCUGCCGCCGCCCCAGAUUGGCCGCAGGUUCAUUGUCCACACGGAUGCUUCUCCUGCAUCCAUUCCACACCACAACCCCGUGAGCCCAGAGCAUCAUGUGCAAUGGAAGCUCCCCCCAAAUAUGGAUGCUAUCUGCCCACACAAAAAUCCCUGUGCGGAAGCUGCUCCACACACCCUUUUUGAUGGUGAUGACAAGAGAAAAGGACUCGGCGUGCAUUUGGUUCCUUUUCACCAAAUAUCAGAGCUAAUCCCUGGAACAGGAUGCAGCUCAGUUGAGCCCUGUGGAACACAGCCUCGCUCAGCAGUCAGUGCCCCCACCUCCCAUAGGAUUGCCAAAUCCAGAUGGGAAAUUCCUGGAUAUUUGGGGGUAGAGCUUGGGGAGGGGAGGGACCGCAGCUCUGUAUAAGGCCACAGAGUCCACCCUCCAAAGCAGCCAUCCCCCCACCCCAGAACUGAUCUCUAUCAUCUAGAGAUCAAUUGUAAUUCUGGGAGAUCUUCAGGCCCCAUCCGGAGGUUGGCAACCAUAUUCCUGUCCCAGCUUGCAGCACUUUGUCCUUUCUCAAUGGGCCUCUUACUGGGGCCUCUUGCUGUCUGACAUGCCAGUUUGCUAGGGGCAAGGAAUUUUGUUUUUCAUGCAGAAACAUUUGCUUAUGAGCUUCCUGCACUCUGCAAUGGUACAUUCUAUGCAAUCAGCUUAGCGAGAACUCAGCCCACAUUAAUACUAUAGAACUAAUUCUGGACACCAGGAGAAGUAGGGGAAGGAACCUGUGAUUCAGGGAAGCUAACUGAGGGCAGACACAGCAAAACCAGUUACGUUGAAGACAGACUGUCUGUUCAUCUGUUCAAGUGAAGUAGAAGAACACAGAGAGUGGCGGCCAGAAAAGGUUAACUUAUCAAAUAGUCCCAAGUUACAUCUGUGCAGGUAAUCAGCCCCUCACUCUGGGGAAUGAGCUGCUACCAGGGCAACACUUGCAUGCUAUCUGUGAAUCUACAGCAUUGUAGGUGCUGAGUUUGGACACCAGUUGGAAGGGGUGGAAAUAAGACCGCACAAGCCCGUAUUAAGUGCUGGUAAGGAAGCGGCCAAAAUGGUGGUACAGACGGUACUUCCUGUCUUCUGCUUCAGUCCCUGUGUCCCAUGAAAGAGACAAUACCAGUAAGAAACGUCAGUUACUUUCACCCAUGGUAGCGAUUCCAAUCCAUGCCCUGCUUGUAGGCCUUUGAGAGGGGUAUUUUGUUAGCCACUGUGAGAAAGAGAAGCCUGGACUAAGACCACCAUUGGUAUGAUCCAGCAGGGCUGCUCUUCUGUUCUUCUUGGUCUUUGCACAUGUCCAGGAACUAGGGUGCCUGCCAACUUCAGCUUGGAAAAUUCCAGGAGAUUCUCAGCAAGGAUAUGUCACUCUAGGACUUCUAUUUCUCCUAGGCUCCUAUGGUAUACCAUAGAGGCCGCCCUCUGAAACUUCUAGUUUCUCCAGGGAAUUUGAUUACUGUAAUCUGGAGAGCUGUUGUAAUUCCAGGAGAAUUCUGGUCCCCACCUUGAAGUUGGUAACUCUGUCCAGGACUGGGAUCAAAUCCCACCCAUGAAGUCACACAGCUGUAACUGCAAGGACAGUGAGAUAGAUGCCAAAGAGGGAAAGGUUCUUGGGUUCAUUCUUAGUACUUGGGAUGAGUUGAGAGGAUAAUAAAUAACAAUGAAAAGGGAAGACACUGGCCAGCAGCCAGGCCUCUGACAGAAGUGAGGUAUAAGAGUUCCCUUAACCGACCCAGUUCCUACAGUGACAGUCUGGAUGCUGCCCUUUCUUUCCCUGCCUAUUUGACAAAGUGGUGCUGAACUCAGAGUCCUUUGAAGUCCUUCAGUAGGGGUUUCAGCCAACAGGAAAGAUUCCCAGCAGCUGUUUCCUUCCCUAGAGUGAGCCAAAUUGUUUGGAUGGUUCAACAGACAGAGAACAGAAGGCGUUUCUCCUAUCUCACAAGCAGCCCCCUCUGGCCCGGGGGCGGUUUUCUGAGGCAGGAUGACGGCUCUUCGGCCUAGUCAAAGGGCACCACCAAGGGCCAUGAUGGUGUUUCCUCUGUCCAGGGCUUAUUUAUUUAUAAGCCAUUUUUACAAGGUUUCAAAUUAGGUCAUAAUAUGAAAAAAAAAUCAAACAUUGGAAAUUUUAGAGAGCCAGUUUGGUGUAGUGGUUAAGAGCGCAGGACUCUAAUCUGGAGAGCCGGGUUUGAUUCCCCACUCCUCCACUUGAAGCCAGCUGGGUGACCUUGGGUCAGUCACAGCUCUACCAGAGCUCCCACCUCACAGGGUGAUUAUUGUUGUGGGGAUAAUAAUGACAUACUUUGUAAACUGCUCUGAGUGGGCAUUAAGAUGUCCUGAAGGGCGGUAUAUAAAUCGAAUGUUGUUGUUGUUGUUAUUAAUGCCCAUAGCAGAAUUUGAAUAGGCACAGCUAAAACAACUCAGCGCUCUAAUAACUCAAGAGAGGUAGACACAACACAUAUACCCUGCCCAAGGGAAUUAGUAGUCCCAUUCUGAUUUUUUGGCUGGCUGGCAUCCUAAACCCUUUUAAACCAGGUUUUAGGAUGGGGCUGCAAUAUCAGGAAAAAUUAAUGGAAAGCUCAUUUAAAAAGCACACAUAUACCCCACCUUCAAAAGAAACGUAUCAACAGGGAAGCUCUGAGAAGGGUCUUGUCUGUGUGGACAUAGUCUGGCCACAUAGUGAUCAAGUGGAGCUCAAGUGAACAGGGAAGAAUACACAUGAGUCCGUUCACUUGCCAUUCAAGUGUAAUUCGUCACUUGUAGCUUGGGUCUGAGUCUACAUUCCCAAAAAAGCUUGCCAGCUAAGAGGCAGGCAAGGCUGUCUUUCUGGCCCCAAGCCUCUAGCUUGUUUACUACAGUUCCCAGAUGGAUCAGGGAAGCCAUCCACCAGAUAGCAAGUGGAGGAAAGGCCUCUGUUAUGAGGCUCGCAGAACCCAGAAGUGGCUACCCUGCCGUUUCACUCCUGGAGAUUUGAUGAAAAUGGUGCUGUAGCCAAUUAUUUUUUUCACCCAGGGCAGGUUCUCAACAAUCCAUCCGUUCCUCCCCAAUUCUUCUGAUAUCACACAGAUUUAAAUGUUAUGUUUAAUCCUCUUCCCAUCGUCCAGCAUGCAUUCCAAAAAUGACAUACCAGGCUAUUUUGUUCAAUAUGGCAGCUCCAUCCCCUAGCGGAGCUAGGAUGUGUUCACAUCACUGACAUUUCUCAAGCAGGCUUUUUGUUCCCAUGUAAAUAUAUAUAUAAAUCUGUAUACAACGUAUGUAAUGUGUCUAUCCAAGUCCAACUCUAAUUUUCACUUCUUUUCCCCAGCACUUUAAUCCUGCUAUUGCCAUUCAUUGUGGAAAAGAGUUAAGUCUUGGGCAACUCAAGGACGAUUGUGUUCCUUGAUUUCUGAAAGUCUCACUGCUUACAGUGAAAUCCUAAGCAGAGUUACAAUGGGCUUAGACUGGAGUAACACUUCUUAAGAUUUCACUGUUGGAUAGACUGUGCUCACUGCUGGCUGCUCUAUUGUGAGUCAGUUUAGGAUACUGUGGAAAGCCUGCUGAUUUCUCUAGCCCAGUCGACAUGUAUCUGAUUCUCUUCUUCUUCGGUCUCAUGCACCAACAGUAUCCCAU